UACGGAGGGAGCUAGCGUUGUUCGGAAUUACUGGGCGUAAAGGGCUCGUAGGUGGCCAACUAAGUCAGACGUGAAAUCCCCAGGCUCAACUUGGGAACUGCGUCUGAUACUGGAUGGCUUGAAUUCGGGAGAGGGAUGCAGAAUUCCAGGUGUAGCGGUGAAAUGCGUAGAUAUCUGGAGGAAUACCGGUGGCGAAGGCGGCAUCCUGGACCGAUAUUGACACUGAGGAGCGAAAGCCAGGGGAGCAAACGGG
rnacentral:rRNA from 1 species